GAAAUGCGAUAAGUAAUGUGAAUUGCAGAAUUCAGUGAAUCAUCGAAUCUUUGAACGCACAUUGCGCCCGCCAGCACUCUGGCGGGCAUGCCUGUUCGAGCGUCAUUUCAACCCUCAGAACCCCUUGCGGGAUCUGGCGUUGGGGAUUGGCAUCCAGCCAGCCCCGAAAUCUAGUGGCGGUCCCUCCGCGACCUCCCCUGUGCAGUAGCGAUACCUCGCAGCGGGACAGCGGUCUGACCACGCCGUAAAACCCCCAACUUCUCAAGGUGGACCUCGAAUCAGGUAGGAAUACCCGCUAAACUUAAGC
rnacentral:misc_RNA from 1 species